rnacentral:snRNA from 1 species
GGAUGUGAGGGCGAUCUGGCUGCGACAUCUGUCACCCCAUUGAUCGCCAGAGUUGAUUCGGCUGAUCUGGCUGGCUAGGCGGGUGUCCCCUUCCUCCCUCACCGCUCCAUGUUGUUCAUCCCUCCCGAAGCUGCGCGCUCGGUGGAAGAGUACGACGUCCCAGGUAUAGAAGGGGUGUAUUAUUAUUGUGCAGAUAUUGGAU